GGAUAGCUCAGUUGGUAGAGCAUGAGACUCUUAAUCUCAGGGUCAUGGGUUUGAUCCCUAUGUUGAGCA